UAUUUGGUCCAUGAGAAGUUGGUCUGAGUG
rnacentral:piRNA from 1 species